AACAAAAGACGACGGUUUUCAUGGAGAGAGAAUAAUCAUCCCUUUCCUUGAUUCAAUAGAGUUUCUCGACAUUUCUUCUCAAGAGGAACAACAAUGGCGAAAAAAAUUCCUUAGAAAUGUCUGAAGAAACGAAAAAAAUCAAUGAAUCAUCACUUCUACUUGUUUUUUAAAUCAAAUCAGAAACCAAUUAUCCUUUCCUAAGAAGAAAUCUUGUUGAUUCUCGAAUUCGGGAAUAAUGUUGGAAAAACGAAGUAGUAUACGAUCGUCUACAUACGUAAUAGGGAUAUCGAAUUUGAUUGUGAUAGUUUUAGGUGUGAUUUUAGUGAUUUAUUCAUCGUUUGGGAGAUGUAAUGGUGGAAAAAUUCUUCCAUUGAUAGUUGUUGCUAUGGCUGCUGCUGUUAGAAUCAUUGCUAUGUUUGGUAUAGCGAUUGCUCAACAAGCCACCGCCACAAGUAUACUUAGUUCACCUCAGGUUGAUUCUUCUUCUUCUGCUGUUGAUGCUGUUAUCCGCCAUGAACGACGGAUGAGGUAUAAAAGGUGGCUGUGGUGGACUCGGUUUGGAAUGGUAAUUACCGUAUUACAGUUUUUUGGGGCAAGUUAUUUAAUGAUCAUCAUACUACAAUAUUUUUCUCAAUCUGGAAAAUCAAGUUGGUGUUUUCUAGAUCCAAAUCAUAAUGCAUUGGAGCGGAAGUUACUGGUCGCUUUUCUCGUUCUUGUGUGGUUUGUGGUCAUUAUACAAUGUAUAGCAGGAUCUGAUGUAUUGAGAUGGAGGUCUUUCUAUGCAACUCAUGAUAAUGCAUGGAAAGCUCAUUACCACGAGGUUUUUGAUCAUGGAAUUCGUGAAGUUUUGUGCUGUCUCGGGCGAGUAAAAUACUUGAGUGUCUUGGAGGAAGAUGAGGUAUACUCUGUAGCACGGCUUUUGGGCGACCUUGUUGCAUAUCGUGCAUCUGGAACUGGGCAUUUGGAACUUUUGGCAGGACUUGCUUUAUUACAGAGACCAAGGCCAUUAACAAGUAACGAAGAUGAUUUACUGGAGGCACCUGAAGAAACGAUUCGAGAGGCGGCUUCCCUUCAUCAAUUUGCCGAAGCUGCCUACACGGGUCCAUUGCUUGAUUUUGGAAGGAACCCCAUAUUGUUCCCUUGUGCAUGGCUCUAUAGGCAAGGGGUUGUGACCCCCUGGACUCGAAACAGGCGACCUGUUCUUGGAGGUGAUAACUGGUGGCGGGGACACGCAGCUGCCUUUUUAAAUUACGUUAACCUUUCCCCAGAAUCACUUCGGCAAGGGCGAGUUUGUCAGGCAAAGUGUGAAGCUGCAUACUUCGUCGUGGUUUUACAUCACCUGAGAUCUGUGGUUAUUGCUGUACGUGGAACGGAGACUCCUGAAGACCUUAUAACUGAUGGUUUGUGCAGGGAAUGCACCCUUUCAGAGAAAGAUUUGGAUGGUUUGAUAAGUAGCAAUAGCAUUAUCAACCCAGAUGUGAAGCAAGGGGUUCUCUCAAGUUUUCCGCAUCAUGGGCAUUCAGGAAUAGUUGAAACUGCACGGGAGCUAUUCAUGCAAAUUGAUGGCGUACCUGAGAGUAAAGAUAGUGAACAUGAUGCCACUGGAUUUCUUUCCUCGUUAAUGGGACCCGAUUGUGAAUGUCAUGGAUACAAUAUUCGGAUCGUGGGGCAUUCUCUUGGAGGUUCUAUUAGUGCCUUACUUGGAAUAAGGUUAUAUGGCCGGUUCCCGAAUUUGCAUGUGUAUUCAUUUGGACCCCUACCAUGUGUGGAUUCAAUCGUUGCAGAUUCAUGUUCAGACUUCAUUACAAGCAUCGUAUACAAUGAUGAAUUUUCCGCACGGCUUUCAGUAAAUUCAAUUCUUAGGCUUCGUGCCGCAUCAAUCACAGCAUUGUCAGAGGAUUCUGCUGCUGAUUCAGCCAUGAUUUUCAGACUUGCUCGGCGAGUAAUGCAGCUUAGCAGUUUUAAGUCCAACGAGGAAGCAGUUCCUGCUUCCUCCUUGGAAAGUGAGACCAUGACACCUCAAGACAGUAACCACCAUAUUCACAGAAGAAGACACUACAACUAUGUUAUAGAAGGGGGUGCCGAACAGGAUCAGGAGUUCCCUGCUUUCAACGUUACAGAUUUUACCGAAAGCCAAGAUACUGCAAUUUUGAAAGAAAACUCUGAGCAAGUUGGCUGCUAUGAUACACUUAGUAGUUGCACCAGUCCAUGCGUUGAAGUGAAGGAAGAUGUAAUUACGUGUGAAGAUUCUGUGUCUAAAUUUAUGAAUGCUGUCCCAUCGUCUAAUGAAACCUCAGCAGGAGAUCCCCCAGAGAUGUACCUCCCAGGUGUUGUCAUACUAAUGUUGCCAAAAAAGAACAGCUUUUUGCCGAUAUGGGGUGGGUGGAAAAUUCUUGAAAGAGAUCAUGGUUAUAGAGCCUACCUUGCAAAGAAGGAAAGUUUUAAAGAUAUUAUUGUUUCGCCAUUUAUGUUCCUCGAUCAUCUGCCCUGGAGAUGUCAUUAUGCUCUGCAGAAAGUACUAGAAGCCCGACAAGCACAAUCUCAACAAGAUUUAUCUGCUUUGGUGUAGAUAUGAAUCAUUUGAUUUCGACUCAUCGAUUCAUGCUCUCUUCAGUGGUCAAAUUGUUGCAUCCAUGGCAUAUUUUACAAGUUUGCAGCAGUCCCUUAACCAUCAGCCUGUAGAUACUCGAUUCAUUUUGAGCAAGGGUUCUGAUCCUGGUUAGGUCUUUAACCCCGAAGAUUUGUGGAAAAGAAAGAAUAGAGGUGAUGAUUGGAUCAUAACAUUCAGAACGGGCAUUCUCAGCGAGGAAGAUCUACACUACUGACGCACAAAUUCCCCCAUCUCAGAAGGGUGUAAUGAAAACUGCUACUGACAUGUACACAAAAUGUUGUUGGACAAAAAUUCGGCUGAGUUGAACCGAGUUAAAUAGGUUAAAUGAAGAUUCACUGGGUUCACACAGCGUCGCACUUGAGUCGGUGGAUUAACAGAAACCUUGGAAGAAGUGACUCGGUGAUUAGAUCUCCGAUUUUUGUAGGACCAUAUAUGUGUAGAUGUUUUCUUAGAAGUUAAGAUAAAGGGUGUUUUUUGUUUGGUUCUGGGUUACAGUCCGAGAUGGUUAACGGAAACUGACAUAAAUCAAACUAGUCCUCCGCUUUGAAGAACGAAAGAGUAGAAGGAAGAAAUCAUGU